UCAGCUUGCAGGCUUUCUCACUGAUCAUCCCUUUGUCCCUCCAGAUGCUCUCCUCACCCUUUUCCAUCCUGUGCCAUGUCCUGUGGAGAAAGGCCUCUGCCACCAAUCCUGCAGGGACCAUUGCCCUUGACCUCUGGCUGCCUUUUGGUGCUGGCCAAUGGGGCGCCCAGGAGAGAUCAAAGGGCAGGAGGAGAGGGAAGGCUGAGUUAAUUCCCCCACUCCCUCCCUUCCCUGCAAAGUAAUCCAGGCUGGCUGUGACCCUGGGAGGAAGGUUUAGCCUUUUCCACCAGUCCUCUCCUUUCAUUGUUGUUUUUUUUUGUUUUUUUUUUUUGUUUGUUUGUUUUUUUGUUUUUUUGCUUUUUAGGGCCACACCUGUGGCAAAUGGAAAUUCCCAGGCUAGGCAUCUAAUCAGAGCUAAGGCUGCCGGCCUACACCAGAGCCACAGCAACGCAGGAUUCAAGCCGCGUCUGCGACAUACACCACAGCUCAGGGCAACACCAGAUCCUUAACCCACUGAUGCGCGGCCAGGAAUCGAACCGGAAACCUCAUGGUUCCUAGUCAGAUUCGUUUCCACUGCGCCACGACAGGAACUCCCAGUCCUCUCCUUCUGGAUUCCACCUGGUGCCUGGUUUCCCCCCAGCUCUGGCCCUACAGCUCCCCUUCCUGAGGACCCCAGUUUCAGGUCAUUCGACACUGUCCAGCCCUCUGGCCUGACGAAACCCCAACAAAGCAGACCUGGAAGCUGAGGAGACAAAGGUGAGUGGGCAGACCUUGUCUGCAGACAGAGAUCUCUAGAGAAAACCUUUUCUCCUUGGUCCCUUGGAGCUCAGCUGAGGAAAGCCUUUAGGAGAAAGCAGAAACCAAGGAGGCCAUUUGGUGGUGGGGAGGGCGGGGCAUCCGAGGUACCCCCUUCGCUGAUGCCCUGCCGUUCCUGGACUUCUUAGAGAGCAUUAAGGACAAAACCAGCUUGGCCUGUUAACAACAAGCAGGUGCUUCAGCACCACACACCUGCCCCAGUGCCCAGAUGUGCAUGACCCAUGGGGCUGGAUGGUGCAGAGGAGAGUAAGACAGGCUAGCACCCCCCCUCCAAUACACACACACACACACACACACACACACACACACACACACACACACACACACGGGCUUCCGGGAAAGGGGUCACCACAAGCACACAGACCACAGCAGCCUCAGGUGGUAUCAGCUGAGGGCUUGAUAGAGGCUGGGCCUGGAGCAGCCAGUGGGGGGUGGUGAGACUUGUCCGGAGAGGCUCUGGCAAAUGCACAGUGUUUACAUCUGUCUGCUUUCCUCCUGGUAGUUCCUGAUAAGCUCCCCAGGAACCACACACACACACACAUUUAUGGCCAUGCUGUGUGCACUGCCUCAGGGACAGGAUGUGACAACAGAAAGAGGAGAAAAUGUCUAAAAAGAAAGUCUUCCUGACCUCUGCAGUCCCAAAUUCCAACUCCUCAGAGAAAAGGAAGACAAGAAACAGACUUUGGGGGGGUUGUUUGGGGAAGACCAGCGAGGCUUGUCAGAGGCUCUGGGCUUGGGAGCAGAGCCGGGGCAGGGGGGUGUUAUGAGAUGUACAUAGACAUUGGUGGGACCCUGAGAAAGGGCCUUGACCCAGUUCUCUGGGACGAGCCCAGAGGAGGUGGCAAGGGUCCAGUGAGGAAGGGCCAAGGGGGCUGUCAGGCAGGUGGGCCUGUGCACCCCUGCAGGCAGCAAAAGUCCUGUGCCUGUGCCCUCUGUACUGCAGGGCUGUGCGAAGAGGGCGCAGCCCUGGUGGGGCCUUUUGGAUAAGAUGUGACGGACUGGGAAUGCCGGCGAUUGCCAGAUGGACAGCAGGCCUGGAGGAUCAAAUGAGCUCUGGCUUCCUCCAGUGUCCCAAGUAAGCCCACCUAGACUCAGGACCAGCCCAGGAAACUCUAGGGGACAAGGGGACAUGCUAGACUCCGAAUUGACAGGAUUAGGUGCCUGCCACCUCAGGGGAAUGGGGGCUGAAAUGUAGAAAGGAGGAUGAAUACAAAAAUCAAUCCUUGAACACCUGUAUAUUAUAGAAAUUCUAAGCUGCUGUGAGAGAGAAAACCCAGGCUCUAUAAGGGCAACCCAUGUAUAAUAAAAGGCUGCAGACAAAGAUCAACAAUAAACUGGGGGAAAUUGUAACCCAUUCAUAGCAAAAUUACUAAUUCCUUUCAUACGUGAAGAACUCCUAUAAAUCAGUAACACAGAGAUGGACCAUCGAUAGAUAGUUCAUAAAAACCAUAAAUAGGCAGUUUACAGAAAAAGAAAUACAAAUGACCUCAACAUUUGAAACAUAUUCCUAAACCGCAAUUAGAGAAAUGCAAAUUAAGAUUACAGUGAGAUCAUUUUUCACCUAUCAGAUAGGAGAUUUAUGAGCUUGACAAAGCCUGGUGCUGGUGAGAGCACAGGGAACCAGCUUCUCUCCAUGACUGUUGUCGGGAAGGUAGUUGGCACAGUCAUCGUGAGUGCAAGCUGGCAAUAUCUGUCAUGAUUAAAGUGCACCUUUUGUUUGGGCCUGCAGUUACCUUGUGGGUACAUCUCCACACGUCCACAAGGAUGUUUGUUCAAGGCUGUUCACAAUAGCAUUGUUUGUAGUGGCAAAGAAGUGGCAACAACCCAAAUGUCUACUUAUAGGAGACUAGAUACGUUAAUAUAUAAUUAUACAUCAAUGAAAUACUAAAAGGCCAAAAUGAAAAAGAUCUGCGUAUGUUGCUUUGGAAAGAUCUUGGCACUACAUUGUUAAUUUUUUAAGAAGCCAGGUGCAGAAGAGUAUGUAUAGUUGUCUUUCAUUUGCAUUUAAAAAAAGAAUCGAUGUGCGAAUAUAUGCAUGUUUAUGCCUGGACAUUUCUAAAGAGGCACCGAGGUUAAAUGAAUAUCCGUAUAUUCUCAUGGGAUAAUUUUGUACUGUUGAGUGGUGCAGCAUCUGUGGAGGUUUUAUUUUUAUAACAGCAUCAUGAGGCAAAUGGAGCAGGCAGGAGAGAAGGAGUAGUGGGAGGGAGGGCGAGCAAGCACUUCUGUGGGCUGAGGGCUGAGUGGGCGGCAGGUUUGUGCAUAGGGAAUUAACAUUUUCCACGUAGACAGCCACAGACUUCAGGGACAGGGGAUGAGUCACACCUAUGACAAAAGUCCAUGACCUUCCAAAGACUGGCAUUGCUGUUGUGCUCCAGAACAGUUUAUCCUUUAGAAAGGAGCCCUGGAGAGGCUCCAGGCAGGCCUGGGCAGGACUGAUAAGGAUCUUAGCAGAAUCUACCCUAAACUCAAAGGUGAGCUCAGGAGUUCCCGUGGAGGCUCAGUGGUUAACGAACCCGACUAGUAACCAUGAGGUUGCGGGUUCAAUCCCUGGCCUCGCUCAGUGGGUUAGGGAUCCAGUGUUACUGUGAGUUGUGGUGUAGGUCACAGACGUGGCUCAGAUCCCACGUUGCUGUGGCUGUGGUGUAAGCCAGGAUCUGUAGCUCCAUUUCGACCUCCAUAUGCCACAGGUGUGGCCCUAAAAAGACCAAAGGACCCCCCCCCCAAAAAAGUGAGCUCAGCAAAGAGUCUUAGGGAGUCAUUUUAGAUGCUUACUGUGAAGAAGGCAAAUACUUGCACAAAACAGAAGAAAUCCGAAGCCUAGUAAUAGAUGAGCAGUGAGGGAAUUAGAAACAUAAAUUCAAGCAAAGUCAAUUCAAUUCAAACAGGGAGAUCUCACUUUCCACCCAUCAAAUUUAGUAAAAAAUGUUAAGGAUUGCUACUAUUCAGUGUUGAUAGAGUAAUGGAAAAACAGGCACUAUCAAGCACCAUUGGGGAGAGUGAAAAUCACCCUAUGUUUUUUUGGAGAAAAAAUUAGGCAGGAACAACAUGUUAAAUGUUGAUUCACCCCGAUCCAGAAACCCUACUUUUGGGAACCUGCCCUCUGCCAUUCUCAUACAAGGCAUAUACUGCCAUGUCCAGCACUGCUGGGCAACGUGAGAUCCUGGAAGAGGGGCGGCGCAGCAUAAUAAAACACACAAGACUCUCUUACAUCUAGAAAGUGGGGGACCAGGAGGCACUCUGUUCUGCAGAACAACGGCGCCUAGGCCUUAGCCCACAUGACUUUCAUUAGGGAAGGUGACAUAGAUUCAUGAGCAAAAUCAGGUGCAGGUAAUGAUGGAGCUAUCUCUUAGUGGUUGUGCUUUUGCAGGUGCACCAAAUUUGCUUACUGCAUCAUUCAGCAGUUUCAAUGGUCUCAACAAUAUACAAGGAUGUUCAGCACCCUAUGGUUUAGCUAGCAAACUGGUAGAAACAGCAUCAAUGGCUAUCAAUCAGAGACUGGAUAAAGAGCUUCUCGUAAAGCCACACCACGGGAUCCUUAAAAUUGACAUACACUGGCAAGUGAAAGUUAAAAAGUCAAGAGCAUGGCAUAUAUAGUAUAAUAUAUGUAUAUGAAGUCCCUCCCAAAUCCUAAGACUACAUCAUACGCAGAAACAGGUCUGGAAGGAUGUACACACACCAUACACAGAGUGAUUACCUCUGGGGAGAAAAGGGGAAUUGGAAGGGGGUGACAAAGAGGGACUAUAAACUGUACCACAUACAUUUCUGUGUUUUUGGGUUUUUAUUUAUUAUUUAUUUAUAGAUAAUGAGCCUGCAUGAAUGUAUUACUUAGCUGCAGUAUGCACGGCCAUGGCUAGUAUAGACCCUGGCUUAAUAGCUACUAGCUGUGUAAGAGGCACAAAACUAAAUCUUAAUGAGCCUCACUUUUUUUUCCAUAGAAAAAUAGGGCUCAUACUGUCUUGUUAUAAGGAUUAAACUCAUAGAAGCAAAACGCUUGGAACAGAGCCCAACCCAUGGGAAGUGUUCCAAUUAUAACUACUUGUGUAAUUAAACAUACUCUUUGUUUCACAAGUAGGAUGUGCCUGCUUGGAUGGAGAAUUCCACAGCCAGGAGGCCAAACACACCUGAUCAAGGGCUUGAGAAGGGAGGGAGAUACUCGCUAUAUAUGUUAGUGUCAAAAGGAGAUUAACAUCUCCUGGAGGGUGGGAAGCAGGCUAGGCAGACACAGAAGUUCUGCUCCCUGAACAGCAUCAGGCUGGUAUGGAAAGUUCUUUCUGUGGGACAUUAUCCUGGCAUGAUGCACUUUGAGGUGACCAGUGUCACUGUCCAAAGAGGGGGAGCCCAUCUGGUCCAUGAUAUGAACUCUUCUAGGGAGAUACUGAGGAGCAGAUGACUUUGGAGGAUGGACAUUUGUGUAUAGGAUGGCCCUGCAGGUUCUGGCCAAGAGACACUGGUACUCAAAGACAGGAGCUGCUGGAGCAAAGUCAGCUGGGCUUUAGACCAGGAAUCACUUGUGUAGACCUUGUGCUUUGGAGGCCCAUGCAGACUGCUGUGUUUCCAUCAGCAACAGAUUUCACUGAUAACUUUAAGGACAUUUAAAAUGUUUUGCCAAUUGAUGAUAUUUUCCUUACACUAGGAUGACUUUUUUUUUUUCCCCCUUCACAAACAGCAUGGAAAGGAAAUUCUUUAGAAGAGGUGAUCAACCCUUCUUGGAAUGAGGCUCUUAAAAUGUAUGCAGAGUUGGCAUCAGAAGAUAGACUAGAAUGAUCCAUGUGGUGCUGGUUUGGAGGUGGAGGCAUCAGAGGACUCAUGUUUAACUUACUAUAGACACAGUUACAUACAUAAAUAGUUAUAGAUGUGUAUCUGUACAGGCAGGUUAGUAAACAUAUGUUUGUCUUUGUCACCAGAGAAAUGACACUUUAGUAGCAAGGAGCACACCAAGCACCCAGAUUUUGGUUUCUACAACCAUUCUCCAAUAACAGGAACCAGGGCUCCUUGGAGUAUGGUCAGAUUCUAGGACUGAGGUGGGAAAUAUACAAGAUGAACCUGGAGCAUCUUAUAGUCCCAGAAAGUAAGGAAGUGCUCACAAAAUAAACAUAUCCAUAGGGGCAUGUCAAAGGGGCACAGCCAACUGAAAGAGCCCCCAGGGGCUCAGCUGGAGAUUUUUGAGCAGUACAAUAAAUAAAGUAGAAUUGGAUUAAGUCCCAAAUUCUAAAACAAGUCCAUAUUGAUACAAAUAAAUAAUUGAAUAAAUUUAUAAGUGGAGAAGAGAUAAUAUACUAUGCAGAACAAUUUAAAAACAGAAAUGUGUGCAAAGUCCACAAAUGUUCAGGUCAAUGUCUAGGCAGUUUUCAGGGUAAAAAAUAUAUAUAUACCUAGAUUUAUAUUCAUGUUACUUAUCUAUAAAGUAUUUUGCUGAGAAGACCUUCAAAAAUCUCAGGGAGGUGCCAUUUUUACAGCAUUUACAUUUGCAAAUAUAUAUACAUUUACAAAUGUAAAUGCUGUAAAAAUAUAUGUAUAUAUACAUAUAUACGCUGUAACACCUCAAUCCUGGCAAAGCUGCAAGAAACUUUAGCACAUGCAUCCAUUGCUCUGAGCAGUGUAAGUUCAUCCAUGCCUUUUGAACAGCACCUUGGCAAUAUCUAUCGAGAACUAGAAAAACAUUCAUACCCUUGAACAUGGUUUUGAACACUGUAGUGUCUUUCUUUUCUGAGAGUUAAUCACAAGGAAAAUAAGUCCAAGAGAAGAGACAGCAAGGAAAGCAAAUAGCAUUUUGCUUUUAUCUUAUUGAAAUGAGCAAAACUGGAAACUAUCUAAAUGUCCCACAGAAGGUUACAAAAUGAUACCGUCUCUUGGUGGAAUAGUAUUUAAUUACUGCAAAGGAUGAUAUGAGGACUAACAUGGAAAAUGCUUAUGAGCACUUAUGAGAAAGAAGUACAAAGCAAAACAUGUAACUCUACCACUGUAAUUAUGACUUUAUAAAAGUAUGCACACAUACUUUUAUGGGGGCUGGAGGCCUGGAGAGCUGAGUGGUUGUAUCCCUGGCACCUGGACCCUCUCCCAUUCGCAUCACACAGCCAGUUUUUCCUUCUUCCUCCAGUGUCUGACAGCAGCCAGCUGAAUUCAUCACCCAGUGAACUCCCAGGUAUAGAGAGGAUGCUCAACACGUAUUUUGGGAAGAAAUGUUUGUUACUGUUGCUAUGAUGUUCUCCAGUACCACUUAAAAAAGCCUCCUAAAUAUUUACUGGGGAACCUGGAUUCAGACUUGAGCAGUGCCUGUCAAUGCCCCAGCCCCACAGAGGCCCAACCAAAACCUCCCACGGCUCACACAUCCUAUUCAAAGUUUCCAUUGCUAUCACUCAGCCACCUACUGGCUCUCUCAAAUAAGAGUGCAAGAAAGCCCCUGCAGGCCUCCGGAUGAAGCAGAGGAUUUUAAAAGGUCAAGCCCUUUAGAAAAGAGCUGCUUAAAACACCAAAGGAUUUUCCUGGGAGAUGCUUGGAUCUCAGGCACUGCACACCUGGGCUAGUUACUGUCUGUCUGGGGAAAGGGUCGGGGCUAAAGACCUGGACAGUUUGGUGGGAAAUGGGAGCAUGGCUGUAGCAGCCCCUUGCUUCCAUUGCCACUGAAGUGCUGCUCUGGAUGGUUCCCCUCUUCCCCUCAUCCCGGAGCAACUACUUGGCAUGCAGGCCCCAGAUGUAAACGUUUCAGGAGCUCCAUGAAAAAGAGUAAAGGAGGAGUUCCCUUGGGGCUCAGUGGUUAAUGUACACAACUAGGACCCAUAAUGAUGCAGGUUCCAUUACCUGGCCUCCUUCGGUGGGUUAAGGAUCCAGCAUUGCUGGUAGAAGAUGAUUGUUGGUAGAAGAUGCGACUCAGAUCCCACAUGGCUGUGGCUGUGGCUGUGCCUGGCAGCUGUAGCUCUGAUUUGUCCCCUAACCUGGGAACUUCCACAUGCCACAGUUGCAGCAACAUAGGAGCUCCUUAUGACAUGGAGUAGGCCAAAAAAAAAAAAAAAAAAAA
rnacentral:lncRNA from 1 species